GACGAACGCUGGCGGCGUGCUUAACACAUGCAAGUCGAGCGGUAAGGCCCUUUCGGGGGUACACGAGCGGCGAACGGGUGAGUAACACGUGGGUGACCUGCCCUCAGCUCUGGGAUAAGCCUGGGAAACCGGGUCUAAUACUGGAUAUGACUCCAUGACGCAUGUUGUGGGGUGGGAAGCCUUGUGCGGCUGAGGAUGGGCCCGCGGCCUAUCAGCUUGUUGGUGGGGUGANGGCCUACCAAGGCGACGACGGGUAGCCGGCCUGAGAGGGCGACCGGCCACACUGGGACUGAGACACGGCCCAGACUCCUACGGGAGGCAGCAGUGGGGAAUCUUGCGCAAUGGGCGAAAGCCUGACGCAGCGACGCCGCGUGAGGGAUGACGGCCU
rnacentral:rRNA from 1 species